rnacentral:rRNA from 1 species
UCGAGAAUUUUUCUCAAUGGGGGAAACCCUGAAGGAGCGACGCCGCGUGGAGGAUGAAGGUCUUCGGAUUGUAAACUCCUGUCAUUUGAGAACAAGUGUGGCCGAGUAACUACCGGUCACUUGAUAGUAUCAGAAGAGGAAGAGACGGCUAACUCUGUGCCAGCAGCCGCGGUAAUACAGAGGUCUCAAGCGUUGUUCGGAUUCAUUGGGCGUAAAGGGAGCGUAGGCGGUCGGGUAAGUGGGAUGUGAAAUCCUGGGGCUCAACCUCAGAACUGCAUUCCAUACUGCUUGGCUAGAGUACUGGAGAGGUGAGUGGAAUUCACGGUGUAGCAGUGAAAUGCGUAGAUAUCGUGAGGAAGACCAGCGGCGAAGGCGGCUCACUGGACAGUUACUGACGCUGAUGCUCGAAGGCCAGGGGAGCAAACG